UGGAGCUCUCAGCUUUCGUAUCUGGACUGGACACUUGGAAAUUCAACUUAAGUUUUUUUUUUAAAUAAGUUCCAAACGAAUAUGACGAUCAUAGGUUCUGUUAUUCGGUUUUGCUUCGUUUUUACUUUUGGAAUUCCCGUCAUAGCUUUCAUGAUUUUAUUCGGAUCGUGGAACGAAAGCGCAGCAACUUCAGAGACUGAAGAGAAGAAGGUGCGAAGUGAAACUGUCGAUGAAAAAAAGAUGCGUAACAACAUUAAUGAACAAUUUGAUUCAUCGUAUGGGACCAUCUGCCACUCAUUCUCUGAUACCCAUCCCAUUUUAGAGAAUGAGAAUUGGACCGAAGAUUCUUACACUGACCAGUCAGAUCGCACACUAGCCUCAGUAUGUAAGUGUGCAGGCUGCCAAUCCCAAGUAGGAGGAAAUUUAAACAGAUCGUUCGUUAUUUUUGAGAAUACGCGGAAACGAGAAUAUGCAGGGAGUAACCGUAGCAUGGAAUCACUCUUUGCUUGUGAUGCAUCCGCUUGCUCAGAGGACUGCACAAAAUAUCAAGAAGAUACUUCGUCACAACAAAUUCAAGAGUUUUCUUUCUACUCCGUCGACGACUUGAGUCAGCUCUGCAGUUCUGGCUAUGAAGCAGAUCUCAGUGAGAACCUUAAGAGCUUCCACUCGGCUGUCUCUUGCUAAUGUGACUACGACAUGAAAAAAAUGAGAUUCCGGUUUUCGAGUGGCGGGAUCAUUAAUCACUAAAAGGUCACCGAGUCUCUUUCGUGAGUUAGAGUUCGAAACUGUGAGUCACAGGUUUAGAAGCACAUACUCGAUUAUAAUCGCAAUAAAAGUUUGCAGAAAUGUCAAAUUGCAGUGUUUUUAGCUUCCAAUUUUUGUAUUAUUUUACUGUUGCCCUUAGAAAAACCGACAUGCAACGCAAGUUUUUGUGCAUAGAUCCAUCCGAUAGUACUUCUUAGUAAAUGCAGAAUGCUCCACAUCACAACUUAC